ACCAACUUUGGUUACGAAUAUUUGCUCCUCAAUUCAAAAGACGAGGAUGCAUGAGGGACGGGCCACUCCAUUUUUGCCAACCCUAAAUUUGUGGCAAUUGCUAAAACAGAGCUUCUCUUCUAACAGCAAACACCCAAUCGAAGUAAUGGACGACUUUUCAAUUGAGAAGAUCCAAUUAUCUGGCGCCACUUUGGCCUCACUCCUCCACCGUGCCUCCGCUGCCACCGGCGACCUCCACGGCUACCUCUUUGGCCACGUCACCCUUUCGACCCACAAUCCCCUCUCCGACGACUCCACCACCUCUUCCGCCACUGCCGGUCCAGUUCUCGCCGCUACUAUCACUUCCUUCAUCUCCCUCCCCUCCCACCUCUCUCUUCCUCCGCCGCCACCUCACACCAUCACCAACACCCUUCUCGGCUGGUUCUCCGCCCGCCGGAAAACUGCACUUCGUCCCUCUCUUAAAGACUCCACCACUACUGGCGCUCUUUCCUCCUCCACUUCUCAUUCAUUCACCCCCAAAAAUUCAUCUCUUUCUCUCCCUCCUUCUCUCUUUCUUCUCUUGACGACGCCGAUUCAAGAUCAAUUAAUUCACACCCAUGAAUACAAAGUUUUUCAGUACCGCAUUGCGGAUAAAACUUUCGAGCCCAAGAGCUUGAGUAUAAUUAACAUUGGCCCAUCUUUUCGUUCCCAUUACGAGUCUUUUAGCCCUUAUGCGCCAUUCCCGUUGGUCAAUUGUGAUUUGAGGGGCCCCAAUGCAAUGGAGGAGGAUGAAAAGGUUGAGAGUUUGGGAGCUAUGAAGGAUCAGAAGCAACUAGAUAUGUGCGCGGAGGGAUUUGAGAUUGGGAGGCUGAGUAAAUUGGUUGGCUCCGAGGCUACGCAUCUAACAGCUGAGUUGGAGGAAUUGUAUCAUAAAAUGCUUGCCAAACUCGAUGGCUUGUCGAAAGUGGUCGAACAGGGCUCUGCCAAAGUUUUGGAGCAGGAGAAUAAUAUUAUGAAGUUGAGGUAUAAAGCUGCUGGUUUGGAAUGAAUAAAUGGUGUUCUUGUUAUAAUUCAAGGAUUUUUCCUUUUGAAUGAUUUGAGUUUUGAGUAAUAUGUGGCAACAGUUGACCAUCCAAGAUUUAACGACUGAGAUCUGUGGAUGUGUGUUUGUGUAGACAUAAAAAACAUCGCUUUUCAGAAUAGUGUAGAUUCCUUGGAAGCACGAAGGUGCAUAGUAAAUCUCGGAAGCUUGUUGUUUAUAACAAAAUAAUCAUAGAAAUGUUGUUCUUGUUGCUGGCUAUUGGAUCUUUUGGCUGAUUUGUGGUUGAACGAGGCCGCGCCCUGGUUACAUCAUAAUGUACUACAUUCUACAUGUAUCAUUGUGUUAUGUACUUGUUUCCUAGUAUUGGCAUUGGUUCCUUUUUUAUUUUUCUUUUGUUUUUGUGUAUAAUCCUUGUGAUUUUGUUGAUAUUUUUUCCCUUUGGUGUCAAGAAGUUGAUGAAAUUGAGCAUAAAGCUUUUGAUGUUGAUUUCUUUGUUAGCUAGUUUUA